rnacentral:rRNA from 1 species
AGCGAUAAGGCAUCUUAUUGCUAUUAAAGAAUUUCGGUGUUUGAUGGGGAUGCGUUCCAUUAGAUUGUUGGUGAGGUAACGGCUCACCAAGUCUUCGAUGGAUAGGGGUUCUGAGAGGAAGGUCCCCCACAUUGGAACUGAGACACGGUCCAAACUCCUACGGGAGGCAGCAGUGAGGAAUAUUGGUCAAUGGACGAGAGUCUGAACCAGCCAAGUAGCGUGAAGGAUGAAGGCCCUAUGGGUCGUAAACUUCUUUUAUAGGGGAAUAAAGUGCGGAACGUGUUCCGCUUUGUAUGUACCCUACGAAUAAGGAUCGGCUAACUCCGUGCCAGCAGCCGCGGUAAUACGGAGGAUCCGAGCGUUAUCCGGAUUUAUUGGGUUUAAAGGGAGCGUAGGUGGACGUAUAAGUCAGUUGUGAAAGUUUGCGGCUCAACCGUAAAAUUGCAGUUGAUACUGUAUGUCUUGAGUGUACAAGAGGUGGGCGGAAUUCGUGGUGUAGCGGUGAAAUGCUUAGAUAUCACGAAGAACUCCGAUUG